GCAACCCACUCCAGUGUUCUUGCCUGGAGAAUCCCAGGGACGGGGGAGCCUGGUGGGCUGCCAUCUCUGGGGUCGCACAGAGUCGGACAUGACUGAAGCAACUUAGCAGCAGCAGCAUACCACCUUGCUGCUCUGCCACCAAGAAUGUGACAUGUUUGGAGCAAUAUUAACCAGAAUUCAAAACACAAAACAAAAACAAAUCCAAGUGAAGGAGGAGGAGAGGGUCAUCCUUUGACUUUGAAAUGGAAAGACCAGGAGUCCUAGAUGGAGCAGGAGAGGAGAGGCUUAUUGGGAUGCUACACAAGAAGAAAUAUACACUCCAUCCCUCUUUGUAGAGGGAGCAUCCUUCUUGAGACCCACGAAGACAUGGGGCUGUGUUUUGGGAGCGAGCCUUUGAAAACACUGUGAUGAUGAUAAGGAGGAGAAGGAGAUAAUUAAAAUACUCGUAGUUGCAAGUAACAGACACAAAGUUGCUUUGUUUUGUUUUUAAAUUUUUGGCUGUGCUGCACAGCAUGUGGGAUCUUAGUUCCCCAAUCAGGAAUUGAACCCACCUCUCUGUAGUGGAAGCAUGGAGUCUUAACCACUGGACCACCAGGGAAGUCCCAGAAACUGAGUUCUGACCUCUUUGAACAAAAUGGGAGUUGAUUCACUUAAUCAAGGCAAGCCUGGAAGAAUAGAUUGGAAAAAAUAGAAUUGAUGGGACCAAAUGCCUCCAAAAGAUUAAGAGACAGGAAAUACAACAACCGUCAUUUGUAGGAGACCACUACUCUUUCGUCAAUCGACACCCCAGAUCCUUGGAAGGUCAUAUGUCUGUUCGUGAUGCCCAAGUCCUUGAGGCUAAGAUUCUGGAAGAGACAGGCUUUAGACCUCUGGCUUCUAUAAGUGGAGGAAAAGCAUUGCUUUCCACCAAGAUCUCACACCUGGGGAAUAACUUCCAAAUAAGAAUUCCUAGGGCAAUUGCCAGAGGCCAGAACACUCUCGUGUGGAUGAGAGAACUUGAGAAGAACAAAUAAUUGAGGACAAAAGUUUUGAGUUUCUUUGUUGAUCUUCCUGCUUCCCAUGGCAUACAGAACAGGACACAGAAGACUAGGUUUCCACAAACUGAACAGCUCAUGUAACCAGCAGCCAGACCAAGAAAAGGAAAAACCAGCCAAGGCUCCUUUCCCAGGAGCAACUGUUCCAAUAAACAAAAUAGAGUUUUGCCUGA